rnacentral:rRNA from 1 species
CUACGGGUUGCUCCAGUGAGGAAUAUUGCACAAUGGGGGGAACCCUGAUGCAGCAACGCCGCGUGGAGGAUGACGCAUUUCGGUGUGUAAACUCCUUUUAUAUGUCAAGAAAAUGACGGUAGCAUGUGAAUAAGCACCGGCUAACUCCGUGCCAGCAGCCGCGGUAAUACGGAGGGUGCAAGCGUUACUCGGAAUCACCGGGCGUAAAGGACGCGUAGGCGGGUUGGAAAGUCAGGUGUGAAAUCCUACAGCUUAACUGUAGAACUGCACUUGAAACUUCUAAUCUAGAGUAUGGGAGGGGGAGAUGGAAUUAGUGGUGUAGGGGUAAAAUCCGUAGAUAUCACUAGGAAUACCUAAAGCGAAGGCGAUCUCCUGGAACAUUACUGACGCUAAGGCGUGAAAGCGUGGGGAGCAAACAGGAUUAGAUACCCCGGUAGUC